UGGAUAAGGGCCAGAUGAGCUCCACAUACGGAUCCCAGAUCCGGGCCAGAUGAGCCCCAAAUGUGUAUUACGGAUCGGGGCCAGAUCUGGGCCGGAUCCAAUCCACAUGUUUUCUAUUAGUGGCGAUCUGGGCUUAUCUCUAGCCGCGGCUCUGGUAUUACACUAGCUAGGCCUAUCUAUCUAUCUGUUUCAAGAUGAAUGUUAUUCACCCACAACAUCAGCCAAUAAUAAUGACUUCAUAAUUGCAAAUAAUUCUACCUGCAUCAUAUCAGACCCUAAGUACAAUGUAUCAAUCUGUAUGUAACCCACAGACAAUCAGUUAUUUUACAUUGGCCCCCAAAAGAAAUAUAUGCGCCUGGUGGUCCUGUCGGAGGACCAAAAAAAGGCAGUCGAAAGAGAAUGCAACGAUGACCCAGGUACAGGGUGGUGGUAUGAGAGCGUCAAGAGAUAAAGUGGUCCGUGGCUACUACUGGUCCACUAUAAAUGACGACGUGAGGGAAUAGUACAAGCACUACCACCAAUGGCAACUUUCAUGAUCCAAUAAAGACCGUGCCCCAUCUCCUCCACCCAAUCCAGGUGAAUGAGCCAUGGACGGUAAUCGGCAUGGACCUAAUCGGUCCCCUGAGGACCACCGAGGCAGUGCACACAUAGGUCCUCACCGUCACUGAUCUUUUCACCAAGUGGGAUAUGACUGAGCCUCUCCAGACGGCCUCAGCAACAGCUGUUGCUACAGCACUGAUGGGGAAGCUGUAUCUCUUUAGAUUUGUCAAAAAAUUCAUAUCGGACCAAGACCGAGAAUUUGUCAAUGUGGUAGGCUAUGUAGGCCUAUACAGCCCAACCUCAA